rnacentral:misc_RNA from 1 species
UGGGCGAUGAACAUGAAGAUGAAAACAAUUCAGAGCACUUUAUUAAGCAUUCAAUGCGUUUCAGGCUAAGCAAAUUAGCAUUGGUGGAAAAGAGCAAAGGCCAGUACUUGGUGGGAAAGGUGAUAAUUCAGAAACAGAGGGUGGAAUUAAUGUGAUUUCAAGCAAAAGAAAUACUCCCUGGUACUUGAAUAUGAUAAGAAGAAUGAAUGAACAAGAUUUGCGAUUGUGUAGAGAAAAGCUUGAAGAGGGCCGACUCCAAUGAGCAGAAAUUGGUAUCGGUUUCAGUAAAUGGCCAUUACAUCGAGCAGUUGACAGACAGAGAAAGA